rnacentral:rRNA from 1 species
GCUUUGUCAGGGAAGAAAUACCUCUCGGGUUAAGUACCUCCGGGGGGGAGUGACGGUACCUGAAGAAUAAGCACCGGCUAACUACGUGCCAGCAGCCGCGGUAAUACGUAGGGUGCGAGCGUUAAUCGGAAUUACUGGGCGUAAAGCGUGCGCAGGCGGUUGUGCAAGACAGGUGUGAAAUACCCCGGGCUUAACCUGGGAACUGCACUUGUGACUGCACGGCUAGAGUACGGUAGAGGGGGAGUGGAAUUCCGCGUGUAGCAGUGAAAUGCGUAGAUAUGCGGAGGAACACCGAUGGCGAAGGCAAUCCCCUGGACCUGUACUGACGCUCAUGCACGAAAGCGUGGGGAGCAAACAGGAUUAGAUACCCUGGUAG